ensembl:lncRNA
AAUGUAGUCGGCAAGAGUGGAGGAAGAGAGAAAGGUACCAGCAAUACAACUCCGUCGGCAGAAGGUCCUGAAGGAGGAAACCGAGGCAAAGGAGGAUGGUGCUGCUAAACAGAAUUCCAGACACAGAAAUGAUGAAGCAAUGAAGACCACCUGGAACGCACCCAUGUAGACCUGAGACGAGCCCGCGGGCUAGCAACGCAACCGCAACCCAGCAAUGAAUGCAGAGGGAGAGGACGGAAAUGGAGUCCCUGGACAAGGCGGGAACGAGAUGGUGGUUAGGAGUAGUGCAGUAUUAUCAACAGGAGAGGUGUACUUGGAAAAUGGAGGAGGAGUGGAGGGAAAUGGAGAGGGAGAGAAGGUCUAAGAGAGAGAGGGAAGAAGAGGGUGAGCUUGAGUCGGAUAAGAAUGGUGUAAAAAAGGGAAAUGGUUUGUUAAAGAAGGGAAAAAUGUGUAAGCAGGGAAAAGGGAAAAUGUGUAAGCAGAGGGAGCUGAAGGAUGAGAAAUUGAAGUGAAUGAGGGUGAAUUAUCGAAGGUGGUAGGUAUCGGAGACCGAGGUAUGCACCUAGGAUCAGGAUAAAGAUGAGUCUGUGACAGUAGGAGUGAAGUUUAUGGAAAAAAAUGGACUCUUGCCUUUUGGCUGAUCCAUUUGUGGUUUCACUGUGGGUGAAACAAUAGUUGGGUAAUUUGGAAUCGGUGAAGGUAACCAGAAGUGGGCUAGUCAUAAUUGUUUGUGUUUCUGCUGGUCAGAGGGAGAAGGCGCUCAGAGUAAAACAAAUGGGGGGGCAAGAAAAUCGAAAAUUGUUUCGCUCUCAAGAAAAGGGCGCUGAUGAAAGCAGUGAUAACUGGGGUAAGGUAAACUCACCCCAUUCCAUACAAAUGUGCGCAACUGCCACAUUCAAACGAGGCGACAAAAAAAACUAAUGGGACUGUAGCGACUGUGUUGACUUCAAAAGCGGGGGUGUGAACUAGGCUUCUAUUCAAGCGUUGAUCGACAUGGUAAUGGCUCCAUAGUAUGAGAAAAGUUUUUAAAAAACUGACCCUCCAUUACAUCGUGACGUGUCAUGUCGUAACGUACAGCACGCAUAAAGCAACUAUUUAUGUCUUACAAUCUCUCUCCACCAGGUGUAGCACUUCUCUCAUCCUUUAAAAACAAGAAAGGGACAGUGACGCGGCCCUGGCAACAACACCAAAAAGAAAACAACACAUCAAGAAGUGCAAAAUCGAGGAUGUAUGAUCGGCAGCCUAGUCUGUGCAAGUCCGAUCUGUGAUGGAUUUGUUAUUAUAAAUGUACAGUACCGUUCAAAAGUUGGGGUCACUUAGAAAUGUCCUUGUCUUUGAAAGAAACACAUUUUUAUCCAUUAAAAUAACAUAAAAUUGAUCAGAAAUACAGUGUAGACAUUGUUAAUAUUGUAAAUGACUAUUGUAGCUAGAAAUGGCUGAUUUAAUGUUAUAUCUACAUAGGCCCAUUAUCAGCAACCGUCACUCCUGUGUUCUAAUGGCAUGAUGUGUUAGCUAAUCCAAGUUUAUUUUAAAAGGCUAAUUGAUCAUUAGAAAACCCUUUUGCAAUUAUGUUAGCACAGCUGAAAACUGUUGUCCUGAUUAAAGAAGUAAUAAAACUGGCCUGCUUUAGAAUAGUUGAGUAUCUGGAGCAUCAGCAUUUGUGGGUUUGAUUACAGGCUCAAAAUGUCCAGAAACAAUGAACUUCCUUCUGAAACUCGUCAGCCUAUUCUUGUUCUGAGAAUUGAAGUCUAUUCCACGCGAGAAAUUACCAAGAAACUGAAGAUCUCAUACAACACUGUGUACUACUCCCUUCAUUGGAUGUAAAUCUCCUCAGAUGGAUUGAUAUGCUGUUUAUUUGUUUGUAAAUAUGUGUGGGUCCUCAGCAUCUUGUCUCAUUGUCAAACUAGUGUCUGUCAAUGCAGUAGUAUUUCUGUAUCACAUUAAGCUGGAGUGGAUGUGGCGCAGCAAAAAAAAGUUCUCCUUCAAACAGGGGAAAGAGUGGGGGGUGGAGGGGUGAAAUAAAUCAACACAAACAAUGAAGUACUGA